rnacentral:rRNA from 1 species
AUGCGGCAGAUCUCGUCGAUGCUGCAGGGCCUGGCCCGUUCCAUGUCUCUGGGAAAGGAUAGGAAGAUGGAGGAGGAGCACCAGGGGACGGUGCUGCGGUCGUCGGGGACACUCUGGGGCGAGGGCUCCGAGACGUUCGCUGCCGCGUGCUGGACGUACAAGCACCAGCACCACCGCUGGCCGUUUCCUCCAUACUGA